UUUUUACUCAUUUCAACCAAUACAAAAAUCUUAUCUUCAUCAUAACAAAAAUCCUUGAGCUUAUCAAAAGGAUGACAAUGAACAACAAUACUAUAUAGGAAGCACAAGCAGAAACUUAGAAAAAAGACUAAGUGAACAUAAAGCCGAUAUACUUGCGGCUAGACAGACUACCGUGUUGGCAUGUAAGGCCUACGAACAGAGAAUCAUUGUUGACUGGGCGGAUGCAACCCUGCUAAGACCAACAUAUCAGACCACCGGAUUGAGUACGCUGGAAGCUAUCCAGAUCGAGAAGAUGAAAUGCUCCCACACUAUUAUCAACAAUAACAUCCCCCAUGCGCUCCCUCCAUCAUGGAAAUGGUGUGCAGUCAACAACUUAUGACUAAUACUGCAACUCCGGCCUCCAACUUGUAUUUAUAUUCUUAUAGGUUGCUACGUGCGAUAAGAUGGUCGGUCUAUGAAGCUCGCCAAAAAUGGGCUAAUGCUUCCAUGUACAUUAGCGACACUCUGAAGGAUGAGACUAGAGCUAAGAACCGCCUAAAGCCAAAUGGUUCCUACAUAAAUAUAGAAAUUUUUAUAUAUAUGUAUAUGUGCAUGUG
rnacentral:lncRNA from 1 species